UAUGUCAGAUGAUGAACAGGAAAGUGG
rnacentral:piRNA from 1 species